rnacentral:rRNA from 1 species
CCUACGGGUGGCUGCAGUGGGGAAUAUUGGGCAAUGGGCGCAAGCCUGACCCAGCCACGCCGCGUGAAGGAAGAGGGCUCUCGGGUUGUAAACUUCUUUUCUCAGGGACGAAGAAAGUGACGGUACCUGAGGAAUAAGCCACGGCUAACUACGUGCCAGCAGCCGCGGUAAUACGGAGGGGGCAAGCGUUAUCCGGAUUUAUUGGGUGUAAGGGGCGUGUAGGCGGGAGCGCAAGUCAGAUGUGAAAACUCAGGGCUCAACCCUGGGCCUGCAGUUGAAACUGGGAUUCUUGAGUGCUGGAGAGGCAAUCGGAAUGCCGGGUGUAGCGGUGAAAUGCGUAGAUAUACGGAGGAACACCAGUGGCGAAGGCGGAUUGCUGGACAGUAACUGACGCUGAGGCGCGAAAGCGUGGGUAGCAAACAGGAUUAGAUACCCUUGUAGUC